rnacentral:rRNA from 1 species
UACGUAGGAGGCGAGCGUUGUCCGGAGUUACUGGGCGUAAAGCGCGCGCAGGCGGUCCUUUAAGUCUGAUGUGAAAGCCCACGGCUCAACCGUGGAGGGUCAUUGGAAACUGGGGGACUUGAGUACAGAAGAGAAGAGUGGAAUUCCACGUGUAGCGGUGAAAUGCGUAGAGAUGUGGAGGAACACCAGUGGCGAAGGCGACUCUUUGGUCUGUAACUGACGCUGAGGCGCGAAAGCGUGGGGAGCAAACAGG